CACCUGUUGGUUUGCCUCUGAUGCUGAAUGACCAUAUUUUUCUCAUGGAUCGUCUCCAGCAGGGCAGUGGCCAAAGACUUCAGGUCAGCGAUGGACUGAGGAGUAGCUGGGAGGCUGCACCCAUGGUCUUCAGAGAGCAGAUCCUGAACUAGGGAAGCUUGCUUUGCAGACAAGACCCCAGUCAGAGCACUACUGCUGGAUUUGCCUUGGCUCUUGGAGUUUUUCCGUCUCUCGAGAGCAUU
rnacentral:lncRNA from 1 species